rnacentral:rRNA from 1 species
UACAGAGGUCUCAAGCGUUGUUCGGAAUUAUUGGGCGUAAAGCGCGUGUAGGCGGCUUUGCAAGUCGGGUGUGAAAGCCCUCAGCUUAACUGAGGAAGUGCGCCCGAAACUGCAGAGCUUGAAUACCGGAGAGGAUGGCGGAAUUCCCCAAGUAGAGGUGAAAUUCGUAGAUAUGGGGAGGAACACCGGUGGCGAAGGCGGCCAUCUGGACGGCUAUUGACGCUGAGACGCGGAAAGCGUGGGGAGCAAACAGGG